rnacentral:lncRNA from 1 species
GAUAAAAAAGGAGAAGCUGCAUUAAGAAAACAAAGGUAAAAUUAGAAACACAAGCAAGACAAAACAAAAUAAUAAAGCAUAAGUACUCCCGCAAAAUAACGUAAAUAAUUAUGAAAGCAUAAGCAACAUAAAUACAGUCGCAUGCAAUAAUAACAAGCAGUAACUACCAUACUAAAACACUAAGCACCUAUGAGCCCCUAGCCUACAAUCUUGAUUCUAGACCUCCA